rnacentral:rRNA from 1 species
UACAGAGGUGGCAAGCGUUGUUCGGAAUCACUGGGCUUAAAGGGCGCGCAGGCGGUCGGAAGGGUGUCUUGUGAAAUCCCUCGGCUUAACCGAGGAAUUGCCAGGCAAACCGUCCGACUUGAGGCAGGUAGGGGUCGAUGGAACUCUGGGUGGAGCGGUGAAAUGCGUAGAUAUCCAGGGGAACGCCAAUGGCGAAAGCAGUCGACUGGGCCUGUCCUGACGCUGAGGCGCGAAAGCCAGGGGAGCAAACGGG